rnacentral:rRNA from 1 species
CAGCCGCCACGGGAAUACGUAGGUGGCAAGCGUUGUCCGGAAUUAUUGGGCGUAAAGGGCUCGCAGGCGGUUUCUUAAGUCUGAUGUGAAAGCCCCCGGCUCAACCGGGGAGGGUCAUUGGAAACUGGGAAACUUGAGUGCGGAAGGGGAGAGUGGAAUUCCACGUGUAGCGGUGAAAUGCGUAGAGAUGUGGAGGAACACCAGUGGCGAAGGCGACUCUCUGGUCUGUAACUGACGCUGAGGAGCGAAAGCGCGGGGAGCGAACAGGAUUAGAUACCCGAGUAGUCCCUGUCUCUUAUAC